rnacentral:lncRNA from 1 species
AGCAACAAAGCUACUCGAAGGAUCUACACCCAAAAUCCAUCAAAAUCCAUUAAUUCACCAAAAUUUCAGCACUUAAGCUUAAUUGUCUCAACUCCAAUGUCAAAACUCACCUAAUAAUCUCCAAUUCAGGUGAGGACAGUCCCAAAUCCAAUAGAGUAUACUAGAGAAUGAUUCUCAGGUCCCAAAUUCUCCUACUUCCAAAGAUAGCAUCAAGAAAAGCUCAAAAUCCACAAUUCUGUCCAAAUACAACAGC